GACGAACGCUGGCGGCGUGCUUAACACAUGCAAGUCGAACGGAAAGGCCCUGCUUUUGUGGGGUUCUCGAGUGGCGAACGGGUGCGUAACACGUGAGUAUCCUGCCCUUGACUUUGGUAUAACUUCAGGUAACUGGGGCUACUCCCGUAUAGGAGCUCCUGCUGCAUGGUGGGGAUUGGAUCGUUUCGGCGGUUGGGGAUGGACUCGCGGCUUAUCAGCUUGUUGGUGGGGGAGUGGCUUACCAAGGCUUUGACGGGUACCCGGCCUGAGAGGGUGACCGGCGACAAGGGGACUGAGAUACGGACCAGACUCCUACGGGAGGCAGCAGUGGGGAAUAUUGCACAAUGGGCGGAAGUCUGAUGCAGAAACGCCGCGGGCGGGAUGACGGUUUGCGGGGUGUAAAACGCUUUCGCCUGUGACGAAGCGGGAGUGACGGUAAUGGGUAAAGAAGCACCGGCUAACUACGUG
rnacentral:rRNA from 1 species